CAGCACCCUUGCAAACAUCUGUGAAAACCACGGAAGGAGAGCGGGUGAUGCCAGGCAGGACCCAGGGCAGGGACACCCCGGAGCGGGGCCCCGCCGUGCCCGUCCCGCUCCCCAGGGCGCAGCCGCUCCCCGGCAGUUGCACUUUUGCUUUGCACUGCGAGGGAGGGACCCGCCGUGGGGACCUCUUCAGCCCCGCGGGGACACACCGGGACAGCCUCCGGGCCAGCAAAGGCUGUGGAGGAGAAGAAGGGAAAACACAAGAGAGGUGCCAGGCACAGCCCAGCCCAGCUCCCCAGGAGGCCGUGGGGCCACAUCAGCUGUUGAGCUCUUGUGCUGAGAGAAGAGGCUGAAAUGCCUCCCAAAAGGUGACAGACACACAGCUCUGGUGAGGAAUUGUCCACUGGGCACAACGAUGCUUUUCCUGGUAUGGAUCCCCCCUGCCCGCCCUGCAGGUGACCCCAGAGAGCUCUGACCGAUAAGCAGGGCACUGGACUUAACUCCCCCCGUGCCAGAACUCCCCGUGAUGAGCCGGUGACCGCAGCCUCCCCCGCAGGUUCCAGGGCUGGACUGCUCCCUUCGGAUACUGAGCCCCCCCUGGCUGCAGGACAGGCGGGAUGGACGCGUUAUGAUGCCGGGGCUGAG
rnacentral:lncRNA from 1 species